rnacentral:rRNA from 1 species
UACAGAGGUGGCAAGCGUUGCUCGGUAUCACUGGGCUUAAAGGGCGCGUAGGCGGUGCGGUACGGUUUCGGUGAAAUCCCUCGGCCCAACCGAGGAACAGCCGGGGCUACGGCCGUGCUAGACGGCAUCAGGGGACAGUGGAACUUCCGGUGGAGCGGUGAAAUGCGUAGAUAUCGGAAGGAACGCCGGUGGCGAAAGCGACUGUCUGGGGUGCCUGUGACGCUGAGGCGCGAAAGCCAGGGGAUCAAACAGG